rnacentral:rRNA from 1 species
UACGAAGGUGGCAAGCGUUGUUCGGAUUUACUGGGCGUACAGGGAGCGUAGGCGGUUGGGUAAGCCCUCCGUGAAAUCUCCGGGCCUAACCCGGAAAGUGCGGAGGGGACUGCUCGGCUAGAGGAUGGGAGAGGAGCGCGGAAUUCCCGGUGUAGCGGUGGAAUGCGUAGAGAUCGGGAAGAACAUCAGUGGCGAAGGCGGUCUGCUGGGCCGUUGCUGACGCUGAGGCGCGACAGCGUGGGGAGCAAACAGG